UGUAGGUAGUGGGAGCAGUUUUUGUUUACAUAGGUGUAGAUAUCUGUAAACUUGUCCAGAGAGGAUAGUUAUUUUUGGUGUAAAUAUCUGUAAACUUGUCCAGAGAGGACAGUUAUUUUUAAGUUCAUUUUGUUAAGUUUAUUAUAGUAACUUACUAGCCCCACCUACAUUUGUAAUCAAGGGGGCAUCACCAAGGAUAUGAGGGGACUGGGAUCGUUGCUGGAAAGGGGUAAGGGACUGGCUGUACGUUCCAACAGGGUUAACUUAAUUUAGCAAUCUCGAAAAGAAAACGAAUAAUUAGUACCCUUGUCUAAUCUGGGCCCCUCUCAUCUGAGGGGGCCCACCUGGAAAAUUCACUAUUAUUAUUUUGGACAAUUUGGCAAUAAAUAAAAAAAAAAAGGAAAAUUCUAUACUUACAACAAACAUAUAAAACUGGGGGGAGUGUAGUAUUCGUUGGUAUUAAGCCAGACCCUGCCGGAAGUGCACGAUCCCAUGAUGCCUCUCUCUCUCUCUUUCCGGAAACCAUAUAUAGACAAGAAUACAGAAAAUCCAAAGAGACAAUCUGCCUUGCAGAGACUAAUCAAGAGACAAUCAAGCUUCUUGGGUAAGUUUCAUAUUUACUCGGGAUCACAACA
rnacentral:lncRNA from 1 species